rnacentral:lncRNA from 1 species
AAGCUUUUAAAUGCUCAAGUGUCAUAACUUUCCAAAGCUUCAAAAACUCUCCAACUUCUUCUUCUAAUCUUCUUGUUCAUCUCUACAAGUAAGAAGUGUUGUUUGCUUAAAUAUUCCACUCCUCUAAUCACCUCUUGUGUGUGUCCACUUUGGUUGAGAGGGUUGUCUCAAUAGUACCAAAGUGUGAGAGAAGGUUUUUGAGCUCAACCAUAAAACUCUAGUUUGGUUUUAUAGAGUUUCCGGGAAAACUCUUAGGUCGAAUCUACCUUGAAAGAUUUCUAGGUUUUUAAGAGUUCCUUGAUACUCUAAUGCACUAACUUACCCGUAAAAGUUAGAGGUUCUUAAGAGUGCCCUCAAUACUCUAAGGUGUGAGUCUACCCGUAAAAGACUGGUUCCUAAGCGAAGUAGCCUUAAAGCUUAGAGAGGUUUUUAAGAGUUCCUUGAUACUCUAAGGUACUAACUUACCCGCAAAAGUUAGAGGUUCUUAAGAGUGCCCUUGAUACUCUAAGGUGUGAGUCUACCCGUAAAAGACUAGUUCCUAAGCGAAGUUAGC